AGCUCAAAGAGAGGAGAAUAAUGUAGAAGUGGGGAAAAAGAGAGUAGAUGGAACAAGGAAGAAAGAGGGAGGGAGGAAAGCUAGUAUUACUGACCUAUAAUCUUUCGUUUUUCCAGAGGUUUUAGGGUGCUCUUAAUCGAGUGUCCUGGGAUGCUGGCAGGUUUACUUUGAAAAAAUUAGAGUGCUCAAAGCAGGCUGUUACGCCUGAAUAUUCGUGCAUGGAAUAAUAGAAUAGGAAGUCGUUUCUAUUUUGUUGGUUUUCGGAAAUCGACUUAAUGAUUAAUAGGGACAGUCGGGGGCAUUUGUAUUCAAACGACAGAGGUGAAAUUCUUGGACCGUUUGAAGACAAACUACUGCGAAAGCAUUUGCCAAGAAUGUUUUCA
rnacentral:rRNA from 1 species